UUGCCUGCUCUGCCCCCAGAUUCCAGAGGCAGCCACCCCCCUCCCAUCUCUGUUUGGGGAGCCACAUCCAGGAGAUUUGCUGCAGCAGCACGAACCGGCUGACAACACAAUUCUUCCUGUUUCCAGGGAAAGCCUUUAUUUUGCUUUGUUCUGCACUUGAAGGGAGCAGGCACAAGGCUGCCAGAAGAGCUCAGCUACUUUAGGCUGUGCUGUUUGGAACGAGGGAUGUUAAGCAGAAAGGCCCAGGCUGGUGGGGGACUGGGAGGCUGCCUUCCAGCCCAUCCCUGCUGCUUGACCUUGGAUGCGUCAUUGGUGGUGGAACAUAGGUUCAACUAUCUUUAAAAUCAAGGCUGGGCCGGCGCGGUGGCUCACGCCUGGAAUCCUAGGACUUUGGGAGGCGGAGGCGGGCGGAUCACCUGAGGUUGGGAGUUCAAGUCCAGCUUGGCCAACAUGGUGAAACCCUGCCUCUGCGGAAAAUACAAAAAUUAGCUGGGC
rnacentral:lncRNA from 10 species